rnacentral:rRNA from 1 species
GGUGCUGAAGCAACAAAUGCCCUGCUUCCAGGAAAAGCCUCUAAGCAUCAGGUAACAUCAAAUCGUACCCCAAACCGACACAGGUGGUCAGGUAGAGAAUACCAAGGCGCUUGAGAGAACUCGGGUGAAGGAACUAGGCAAAAUGGUGCCGUAACUUCGGGAGAAGGCACGCUGACACGUAGGUGAAGUGAUUUACUCAUGGAGCUGAAGUCAGUCGAAGAUACCAGCUGGCUGCAACUGUUUAUUAAAAACACAGCACUGUGCAAACACGAAAGUGGACGUAUACGGUGUGACGCCUGCCCGGUGCCGGAAGGUUAAUUGAUGGGGUCAGCGCAAGCGAAGCUCCUGAUCGAAGCCCCGGUAAACGGCGGCCGUAACUAUAACGGUCCUAAGGUAGCGAAAUUCCUUGUCGGGUAAGUUCCGACCUGCACGAAUGGCGUAAUGAUGGCCAGGCUGUCUCCACCCGAGACUCAGUGAAAUUGAACUCGCUGUGAAGAUGCAGUGUACCCGCGGCAAGACGGAAAGACCCCGUGAACCUUUACUAUAGCUUGACACUGAACAUUGAGCCUUGAUGUGUAGGAUAGGUGGGAGGCUUUGAAGUGUGGACGCCAGUCUGCAUGGAGCCGGCCUUGAAAUACCACCCUUUAAUGUUUGAUGUUCUAACGUGGACCCGUGAUCCGGGUUGCGGACAGUGUCUGGUGGGUAGUUUGACUGGGGCGGUCUCCUCCUAAAGAGUAACGGAGGAGCACGAAGGUUGGCUAAUCCUGGUCGGACAUCAGGAGGUUAGUGCAAUGGCAUAAGCCAGCUUGACUGCGAGCGUGACGGCGCGAGCAGGUGCGAAAGCAGGUCAUAGUGAUCCGGUGGUUCUGAAUGGAAGGGCCAUCGCUCAACGGAUAAAAGGUACUCCGGGGAUAACAGGCUGAUACCGCCCAAGAGUUCAUAUCGACGGCGGUGUUUGGCACCUCGAUGUCGGCUCAUCACAUCCUGGGGCUGAAGUAGGUCCCAAGGGUAUGGCUGUUCGCCAUUUAAAGUGGUACGCGAGCUGGGUUUAGAACGUCGUGAGACAGUUCGGUCCCUAUCUGCCGUGGGCGCUGGAGAACUGAGGGGGGCUGCUCCUAGUACGAGAGGACCGGAGUGGACGCAUCACUGGUGUUCGGGUUGUCAUGCCAAUGGCACUGCCCGGUAGCUAAAUGCGGAAGAGAUAAGUGCUGAAAGCAUCUAAGCACGAAACUUGCCCCGAGAUGAGUUCUCCCUGAGACUUUAGGUCUCCUGAAGGAACGUUGAAGACGACGACGUUGAUAGGCCGGGUGUGUAAGCGCAGCGAUGCGUUGAGCUAACCGGUACUAAUGAACCGUGAGGCUUAACCUU